rnacentral:rRNA from 1 species
AACGUAGGAGGCGAGCGUUAUCCGGAUUUACUGGGUGUAAAGCGCGUGCAGGCGGUUUGGAAAGUUGGAUGUGAAAGCUCCUGGCUCAACUAGGAGAGGUCGUUCAAAACUUCCAGACUAGAGGACAGUAGAGGGAGGUGGAAUUCCGGGUGUAGUGGUGAAAUGCGUAGAUAUCCGGAGGAACACCAGUGGCGAAAGCGGCCUUCUGGACUGUACCUGACGCUCAGACGCGAAAGCUAAGGUAGCAAACGGG